CUAGCCUGCUAAAUAGUGGCUGGAUUUUUAAGUCCAGUCUACUUCUUAGAGGGAUAAGCGGUGUUUAGCCGCACGAGAUUGAGCGAUAACAGGUCUGUGAUGCCCUUAGAUGUCCGGGGCUGCACGCGCGCUACAAUGGAAGAAUCAGCUGGCCUAUCCAUUGCCGAAAGGCAUUGGUAAACCGUUGAAACUCUUCCGUGACCGGGAUAGGGAAUUGUAAUUAUUUCCCUUGAACGAGGAAUUCCUAGUAAGUGUGAGUCAUCAGCUCACGCUGAUUACGUCCCUGCCAUUUGUACACACCGCCCGUCGCUGUCCGGGACUGAGCUGUCUCGAGAGGACUGCGGACUGCUGUAUCGAGGCCUUCGGGUCGCGGUAUGGCGGGAAACAGUUCAAUCGCAAUGGCUUGAACCGGGUAAAAGUCGUAACAAGGUAUCUGUAGGUGAACCUGCAGAUGGAUCAU
rnacentral:rRNA from 1 species